GUAAGGGAUAUUGCGACAAUGGGCGAAAGCCUGACGCAGCAACGCCGCGUGCGGGAUGACGGCCUUCGGGUUGUAAACCGCUUUUACAGGGGAAGAGUGAGGACGGUACCCUGGGAAUAAGUCUCGGCUAACUACGUGCCAGCAGCCGCGGUAAGACGUAGGAGGCGAACGUUAUCCGGAUUUACUGGGUGUAAAGCGCGUGCAGGCGGCGCGACAAGUCGUGCGUGAAAGCGCCGGGCUUAACCCGGCGAGGCCGUGCGAUACUAUCGAGCUGGAGGCAGGCAGAGGCGUGUGGAAUUCCGGGUGUAGUGGUGAAAUGCGUAGAGAUCCGGAGGAACACCAGUGGCGAAGGCGACACGCUGGGCCUGACCUGACGCUAAGACGCGACAGCAUGGGGAGCGAACGGGAUUAGAUACCCCAGUAGUCC
rnacentral:rRNA from 1 species